rnacentral:rRNA from 1 species
UACGUAGGGCGCAAGCGUUAUCCGGAAUUAUUGGGCGUAAAGAGCUCGUAGGCGGUUUGUCGCGUCUGCCGUGAAAGUCCGGGGCUCAACUCCGGAUCUGCGGUGGGUACGGGCAGACUAGAGUGAUGUAGGGGAGACUGGAAUUCCUGGUGUAGCGGUGAAAUGCGCAGAUAUCAGGAGGAACACCGAUGGCGAAGGCAGGUCUCUGGGCCGCUACUGACGCUGAGAAGCGAAAGCAUGGGGAGCGAACAGG